ACAGCCACUCCUCCUGUGCUCGGAAUGGAGACUGCGGGCCAGCUCCACAGGUGAACCAGUGAGAUCAUGCCACACUUUGCUAUCAGCCUGCACGCCCAGCGGUUCAGUUGGUGACAGUCACACUUCCCUGCAGCCCCAGGGUGCUUUGCCAUGGACCGUGUGGCUCAGCCCAUGCUUCACCACGGACUGGUGUGACUCGGCUCGUGGGGACCAUCUCGUACUGUGCACCUGACUGCUCAACUUCCUAGCUGUUCUUGUCAGCUUUCCUGCACGUACAGUGAUCUGUCCCCCGUUGGGUAGAGCACUUAGGAAGAGACACACUAUUCCUUUCACGGAAAAAGCCUGCAAUUAACCGGGGUUUGGGAAGAACACUCUGCCUCUGCUUCCACCCACGUUCUCAUUUAACAUAUUUUAUCAGAAUGAAAUGCCUUAAUGAGCACGGAACUGCAGCUAAUCCCAGCUGAACCUCUGCGUGUGCCAACUCUGCUGCCCGCCCAUCAAGCUGCAUUCAUGCUCUGAUGUGGGCUUCUGGAGCACUGCCCUGGAACACCGACAGGAAAUCAGGGGCUUCCUGCCGAAGUAGCACCGCGGAGCACACUCGGAGUAACGGUUUAGAUUGCCCAGCUUGCAGUAUCUGCUGCCUGCUGUUGUCUCCAGACACACUUCCCCAUGUCUGUGAGACCAGUAGAGGACAAAUGCCCGUGCUAUGCAGCCAUCCCCAAAGGAAGGCCAUGCACAGACAGCUCCUUCUGACAUGCCGUGAACUCAGAGAGAGGUCUCCAGUGGACAGUGGAUCCAGGACUCUGCUGUUUGGGACAAAGUGAGCUCCAACCUGCCCGGCCAUCUUGGACCACUGACACAUCUGUGUGGGUCAAGCAUUUCAAGAAUCUUGGCAGAGGCCACCCCCACCCCCGGUGUCCCCCAUCCUCAGUGGCAUACAGGUAGCACUUUCUGGGUGCAUGGCUCUGCCCUCAAAGUCCUCCUGUAGUUUUGUUAUGUUUCCCCUGUCUGUAGACAGUAGGACAAAGACCAAGGACUUAGGGUCUUUGUCCAAGCUGCAGUGCUUCUAAGCUCUGACCCCAUUCCUGUCCCUGAACACGCCUUUUGUAUGUGAACAGGCCAGAGUCCUCUAUCCCUGUCGCUCACUACCCAGGAGAAUGACUUAGAACAGACCUUCCCGGAGGCUGGGGAUGAAUCUGAUUGGCAGCUGUCAAUCAAGGUUCUGCUUGCAACUUAUUUUCAAGAAUUGCGCCCCCUCCCCCUACAUGCUGCCUGGACCCACUCACUUCACACAUGUGACCCAGAGAGCCUUUGAGAUUUGGAGACUGGACUAUCUCAGAGAAAUGAGCCAGCUCUGAGGAAGAAGGGCUGGGCUGAGUGACACAGAUCCCCCACACUGUCCCACCUGAUGAUGUUCAGGAAGGAGCUGUGGAGGAUGGAAAGCCCACUGUGGGGCCUCAGCUCCCACAAUGCUGUGUGCAAUGUCUGCUAAGACAUUAGCACCCUGCAGCACCCUGGCGGAUCUCUAAGACACUCUGCUGUUCCCAUGGUCUCCCCGAGGCUCACACUGAGGCUCCAGGUAGAUGCUCUGGUCGGUCGGUCACCAUGUUCAUAGCUACUUUCCAUAUGACACACAAUGCAGUGUUGCAGACAUGGCUGGAUGAAACACCAAUUGAUUUAUAUAUUAAAGUGAAAGACUUGGAGAAAA